rnacentral:rRNA from 1 species
GACAGAGGGUGCAAACGUUGUUCGGAAUUAUUGGGCGUAAAGAGCUCGUAGGCGGUUUGUUGCGUCGGCUGUGAAAUCCCGAGGCUCAACCUCGGGUCUGCAGUCGAUACGAGCAAACUAGAGUGUUGCAGGGGAGACUGGAAUUCCUGGUGUAGCGGUGAAAUGCGCAGAUAUCAGGAGGAACACCGGUGGCGAAGGCGGGUCUCUGGGCAACAACUGACGCUGGAGGAGCGAAAGCGUGGGGAGCGAACAGG